rnacentral:misc_RNA from 1 species
GAUGAAGAACGCAGCGAAAUGCGAUACGUAAUGUGAAUUGCAGAAUUCAGUGAAUCAUCGAAUCUUUGAACGCACAUUGCGCCCGCCAGUAUUCUGGCGGGCAUGCCUGUUCGAGCGUCAUUUCAACCCUCAGGCCCCGCCUGGCGUUGGGGAUCGGCGCGGCCCUCUCCGGGCUGCCGGCCCCGAAAACUAGUGGCGGUCUCGCUGUAGUCCUCCUCUGCGCAGUAGCAACGCUCGCACUGGAACUCGGCGCGGCCACGCCGUAAAACACCCCACUUCUGAAAGUUGACCUCGGAUCAGGUAGGAAUACCCGCUGAACUUAAGCAUAUCAAUAAGCGGAGGA